CUACGGGACGCUGCAGUUAGGAAUAAUCUGCAAUGCGCGAAAGCGUGACAGUUUGAGCCAGGGUGCUAUUCUAUUGAAUAGCUUUUGCUAAAUGUAAAAAGUUUGGCGAAUAAGGACUGGGUAAGACUAGUGCCAGCCGCCGCGGUAAUACUAGCGGUCCAAGUCGCAGCCAUAUUUAUUGGGUCUAAAACAUCCGUAGCUUGCUUGGUAAGUUUCUUGUGAAAUCCUGUCUCUUAAGGUCAGUGCGCGCAGGGAGUACUACUAAGCUAGAGACUGGGAGACGUAAGAAGUACGUUCGAAGUAGCGGUAAAAUGUGUUAAUCUCGGACGGACUCACAACAGCGAAGGCAUCUCACGAGAACAGUUCUGACAGUCAGGGAUGAAGGCUAGGGGCGCAAAACGGAUUAGAUACCCGCGUAGUC
rnacentral:rRNA from 1 species